GACAUGAACAGAAAAUUCAAUUGAAAGCAUGAACAGAAAAUUCAAUUGAAAGCGCAAUAAGUAUGAACAAGGAAAUGAUAAGGAAAUACACUUUAACGUAGAAGAAAAAGGAAAACCUACUCUAUGGCAAAAACAGAUAAAACAUCAUGGAGUUUUUCUAAAAUAACACAGCCUCCCUGAUCGAAACCCCACAAACAAAUGGGGGGUCCCGUAAAAAAAACAUGGCCACCCCCCUAUUUGUGGGUUCCGAUUAGAUAAGUUGUCAGCCUCCCUGUUGUUGUAGCAAAAACCCGACAUCAUAUCUUUUUCUAAGUACAAUAGUCAAACUGAAAUCCUUUGAACAUGCUAUAAGCACAUUGGGGUCCUUGGUUUGAGCAAAAAUACUAAGAUAUUGCAAAAUAAUAAAUGUGCACCUUGAUCUCUAGCCCAUCUUUCAUUCUCUUCAAAUUAUCUAGUAAAGUGGCUCUAAAGACGUAUUCAGAGAUGGAAAAAAGAAUUUUCUUAACACGUGUGGUUCUCUUACAAGUUCAUUUGUAGGUGAACAACAACGAAAUAUGCUAAUCAGGAGGGACAUUCAUUAUAACCUGAGAACUCAAAACAAAGGUGAAAAUAAGUUAAUUGAAGACAAAAUAAGAACAAUCAAGUGCAGAUACCCUUAAGUGCUAGAUGCUUCCAAGUAACCAGCAAAGAAAAAUAGUUGACUUCCUACUAAAAAAGGUUGAGGCCAAUUGAAUCCGUCUUUCUCUUCUUUCUUAACCACUUGAUGAUAUAUUCAAUACUUCUCAAUCUACUAUUUAGAGAAUAAUACUAUCGAAGAAAUCUUUUAAUUUUGCUAUUGAUUUUGACAAAAAAAUUUCCUUUAUCCAUUGAGUGAAUCCCUUCUCCUGAAAAAAUAAGUAUUGCCUUGUUGUAGUUAAUUAAUGCAAUUGCACAAAGAAAGUGGAUAUCAGUCAUAAAAACCUCUUUCUAGAAGCCAUGUUUACCGGUCCAUAAAGUUUGUGUGGCUCUCUAUCAAUGCCUUCUUUGCUGAGAAAGAACACUUUUAAGAAACUUAUAUACACCCUACUGUUGAACACAAGCACCAAACCCCAUCAAGCAGUGUAUUAUUUUCUGUAUCACCUCAAUGCUCACGAACAUAAUAACAAAACCCGCAAAGCAAUGAAGAAGUUUCAGUUAAGAAUAGGUGAAAUGCUCCAUUCAAAAUUACCGAAAACUUGUUCCCUUCGGGCAUCUUACUUUUUGCAAAGAUGUAAACAUAUAAAUGCAAAGAGAGUCUUAAUGGUUUAGUUUGGCUAGAUUCCUUUAAAUUUGUGAUAGUUUUUGUAUUGUUGUAGUGAUGAGAUAGGAUGAUUGAGGAUGUUUUGUAUGGAAUAAUUUUGGAGGUAAAAAAAAAUAGUUGGCUUUUUAUUGAAAGUUAAUAGUUUGGAAGAUUUUGGUAGAAAGUAAUUUGGUGGACAAAGUAGGUAGGAGAAAGGAAUUUUAUUAGAAUGAUGAUAGCUUACAAUAGCUUGAACUUUGUCUAGC
rnacentral:lncRNA from 1 species